CUGUUUUUAGACUCCCUGACUGCAGCAACAUGCCGGCUGGAUGCAUCGGUGACGGCAACGAUCCUCCAUGCAUAGCAACAGUAACCAGGGACGGGUGUUGGAGAUGAAAGAUCUGUUGUGGUAUCUUUACCGCUGGACCCUGGCUAAAUUUGGACCUAGGUAGAAACCCAAGUCAGACCUAAGACUGAACAGUCUAAUUCUACACUCCAGAGACAACCCUUUCACCAAGAUGAUAAAGUCCACAUCUUACAAAUCUAUAAAUAAAGGCAUAAAAAACAUCUCAAGCUAAUGAAAGGUAAAAUGUGCUUGAACCGUCUCCAUAAAUCACGAUCACAGCACUGCCUGCUCCCACAACCAAAAUGCUUUAACCAAAAGACUUUGCUGACCAGGACCUUUGGGAGAAUUACCAGAGGAGCUGACGUGGCUGCUUCACAGAAACAAUGAAGCAAAGGUUGGAGCAGCAGAUUCUGCCGCUUGAAAGGAAGCUUAGAAAUAAGCCAGAAAGACUGCUCUCCUCGUUUUAUGUCUCAAAGUUGAGGAAAUACUUUAUAAAAAAAAACAAAACUUAAAUGUAGACAUUCAGGUGAGCAAAUAUGUCCUUAAUUUCUCCUUGUUCUUUACUUCCUUCCUGACUCUCCAUCCUUCUUAAGAAAGCUAGACUGCACUCAUCUCUGCCUCUCUGGGGGGCCUUUUAACUUUGAACAUACAUCCACGAGAACACCAGAACUAAGAAGGCUGGAGGACAUAAAUAGACUCAUUCUGCAUUCAGAGCGGCACGAGGAUGUGGAGGAAGAGGAGCACGGGAAGAGGAGAAGCUCUGUAAUGAACGGACACCAGGAGAGGAGCGCAGCGGGAAGCUAUGGCGGGAUCUUUGAGAGAUAAUAGAGUGGGUGUUGGAGAUGGAGAAGAAUAUGACGCCGGCACUGACAAGAACUGGAACACGCAUCCAUACCUCAUUUUUAGAUAACGAUGCUGGGUGGCUGACGCGCUCUAAUGUGACAGGCUGAGCGGAAGUGCAUCACACUGAGCGCUGCACAUGAAAUGCAUUUGUGUUCAGCGAAAAAGGGCAAUUAAAGUGACUGUAAAGGAUAUAAGGGUCCAAACUAGAUGAAAGGGCAAACCUGU